CGGCGGAUUUGAUCUGUUUCUAGUGGCGGACGGGUGAGUAACGCGUGGGUAACCUGCCUUAUACUGGGGGAUAACAGCCAGAAAUGACUGCUAAUACCGCAUAAGCGCACAGAACCGCAUGGUUCCGUGUGAAAAACUCCGGUGGUAUAAGAUGGACCCGCGUUGGAUUAGCUAGUUGGCAGGGCAGCGGCCUACCAAGGCGACGAUCCAUAGCCGGCCUGAGAGGGUGAACGGCCACAUUGGGACUGAGACACGGCCCAGACUCCUACGGGAGGCAGCAGUGGGGAAUAUUGCACAAUGGGGGAAACCCUGAUGCAGCGACGCCGCGUGAAGGAAGAAGUAUCUCGGUAUGUAAACUUCUAUCAGCAGGGAAGAUAAUGACGGUACCUGACUAAGAAGCCCCGGCUAACUACGUGCCAGCAGCCGCGGUAAUACGUAGGGGGCAAGCGUUAUCCGGAUUUACUGGGUGUAAAGGGAGCGUAGACGGCGCAGCAAGUCUGAUGUGAAAGGCAGGGGCUUAACCCCUGGACUGCAUUGGAAACUGCUGUGCUCGAGUGCCGGAGGGGUAAGCGGAAUUCCUAGUGUAGCGGUGAAAUGCGUAGAUAUUAGGAGGAACACCAGUGGCGAAGGCGGCUUACUGGACG
rnacentral:rRNA from 1 species